rnacentral:rRNA from 1 species
GUCGAGCGGAAACGAGUUAACUGACCCUUCGGGGGACGUUAACGGCGUCGAGCGGCGGACGGGUGAGUAAUGCCUGGGAAAUUGCCCUGAUGUGGGGGAUAACCAUUGGAAACGAUGGCUAAUACCGCAUAAUAGCUUCGGCUCAAAGAGGGGGACCUUCGGGCCUCUCGCGUCAGGAUAUGCCCAGGUGGGAUUAGCUAGUUGGUGAGGUAAUGGCUCACCAAGGCGACGAUCCCUAGCUGGUCUGAGAGGAUGAUCAGCCACACUGGAACUGAGACACGGUCCAGACUCCUACGGGAGGCAGCAGUGGGGAAUAUUGCACAAUGGGCGCAAGCCUGAUGCAGCCAUGCCGCGUGUGUGAAGAAGGCCUUCGGGUUGUAAAGCACUUUCAGCAGUGAGGAAGGCGGUGUAGUUAAUAGCUACAUCGUUUGACGUUAGCUGCAGAAGAAGCACCGGCUAACUCCGUGCCAGCAACCGCGGUAAUACGGAGGGUGCGAGCGUUAAUCGGAAUUACUGGGCGUAAAGCGCAUGCAGGUGGUUAGUUAAGUCAGAUGUGAAAGCCCGGGGCUCAACCUCGGAACUGCAUUUGAAACUGGCUGACUAGAGUACUGUAGAGGGGGGUAGAAUUUCAGGUGUAGCGGUGAAAUGCGUAGAGAUCUGAAGGAAUACCGGUGGCGAA